rnacentral:rRNA from 1 species
UACGUAGGGUGCAAGCGUUGUCCGGAAUUAUUGGGGCGUAAAGAGCUCGUAGGCGGUUUGUCGCGUCUGCUGUGAAAACCCGAGGCUCAACCUCGGGCCUGCAGUGGGUACGGGCAGACUAGAGUGCGGUAGGGGAGAUUGGAAUUCCUGGUGUAGCGGUGGAAUGCGCAGAUAUCAGGAGGAACACCAAUGGCGAAGGCAGAUCUCUGGGCCGUAACUGACGCUGAGGAGCGAAAGCAUGGGGGAGCGAACAGG